rnacentral:rRNA from 1 species
AUUGAACGCUGGCGGCAUGCCUUACACAUGCAAGUCGAACGGUAACGCGGGGCAACCUGGCGACGAGUGGCGAACGGGUGAGUAAUGCAUCGGAACGCGCCCAGAAGUGGGGGAUAGCCCGGCGAAAGCCGGAUUAAUACCGCAUGAGACCUGAGGGUGAAAGCGGGGGAUCGCAAGACCUCGCGCUUUUGGAGCGGCCGAUGUCAGAUUAGCUAGUUGGUGGGGUAAAGGCCUACCAAGGCGACGAUCUGUAGCUGGUCUGAGAGGACGACCAGCCACACUGGGACUGAGACACGGCCCAGACUCCUACGGGAGGCAGCAGUGGGGAAUUUUGGACAAUGGGCGCAAGCCUGAUCCAGCCAUGCCGCGUGCGGGAAGAAGGCCUUCGGGUUGUAAACCGCUUUUGUCAGGGAAGAAACGCUCUGGGCUAAUACCCUGGGGUAAUGACGGUACCUGAAGAAUAAGCACCGGCUAACUACGUGCCAGCAGCCGCCGUAA